CAGACCGUCCAUGAAUGCAGUUUAUUCGUUUCCAGGUGAUGCAGACAGACCAGAGGAUGCUGACCACGAGAGACAGACCUAUUCCUAACAUCAGUGAACUUCAGCAUGGACUCAAAGGAAAGGACAUACCUGAAGGACACAACUGCCUCACCGUUUUCUCAGAGGGGCAAGAAGAAAAUGAAUAGCUGAUUUCCGAUUAAAGACCAAUACAGGACAUUCA